CUGGUCCACUCUUUGUUUAGCAUCAUAACCAUAGUUUUUUGAGUCACUAAGAGAGCAAAUAAAGAGCCCCCGACAAUGACAUGCAUUCAGCCACCAAUCCUAAGCAUCGUCCAUGAACCUUCUUUCGACCUCGUAGGAAGCUUACUAGGAAAGAUACAUAUAUAAAGGGGAACUUUGCCUUCAACAUAAAGGUACACCAUGUGAAUUCAGUCGAUUACCAUGGCUGCAAAUAAUCCUAGUGCAAACAUGUCUGAUGGGAGUUUUAGAUCACUGGACUCACCUGAUAGUGAUUUUUCCAACCAGCUAAUUAACUUUGAGCUUUCUGACAUUUUUGAGCUCGAUAAUUGGCCCGUUCAUGAUGAUCCAACGUUCGUUGUUUCUGGCCCUUCCCAGUACUCAGGAAAUGAAGUGGUUGUCACUGAGAGAAGCAGGAGUUACCAUGAAGGAUCUAGCAACAGUAAGCAUUUCAUCAAGAAACAGUUUUUAGCAUUUUGUUAUGUAAUUUAGUUAUAUGGCAUUAACAUGAGACAUCUAAUAACAUUACACACAUGCACAAAUUAGGUAAGAGUAGCACAUACCAUGAAAUUUGAUUAACUUUAUUGAUGAAACAUUUGGUUUGGUAAACAAAUAGACAUUGGGAGCAGCAGGGAGAGGAAGGAAGUAAAGGACAAGGUUGCUUUCAAAACACUGUCACAGAUUGAAAUACUAGAUGAUGG
rnacentral:lncRNA from 1 species